UGGUGCUCGCUUCAGCAGCACCAAUUUAACUAACAUUGGAACGAUACAGAGAAGGUUAGCAUGGCCCCUGCACAAGGAUGACACGCGAAUUCGCGAAGCGUUCCAUAUUUAA